GCUGAACUAUUUUUGCGAUGUGUUCCUAAUAUGCGGUAUAAAUAUAUUGGGAGCAUUUUGCAUGCAUGGUUUUGUAUC
rnacentral:pre_miRNA from 1 species